UGCAUUCACUACUAUAAGUCGCUUUGGAUAAGAGCGUCUGCUAAAUGACUAAAA
rfam:Salmo salar isolate Sally breed double haploid chromosome ssa14, whole genome shotgun sequence.